UUGGCAAUCUCAAACACAACAACAAAGUAAAAUGCAAUGUUAUUUGGCCCUAAAAAGACAGUACAAUAUGGCA